AUACGUAGGGGGCGAGCGUUGUCCGGAAUUACUGGGCGUAAAGGGUGCGUAGGUGGCACUUUAAGUUGGAUGUGAAAUCCCCGUGCUUAACAUGGGAGCUGCAUCCAAUACUGGAGAGCUAGAGUGCAGGAGAGGUAAGCGGAAUUCCUAGUGUAGCGGUGAAAUGCGUAGAUAUUAGGAGGGACACCAGUGGCGAAGGCGGCUUACUGGACUGUAACUGACACUGAGGCACGAAAGCGUGGGGAGCAAACAGGAUUAGAUACCCUGGUAGUCCACGCUGUAAACGAUGAAUACUAGGUGUAGGGGGUAUCAACUCCCUCUGUGCCGCAGCAAACGCAAUAAGUAUUCCGCCUGGGGAGUACGGCCGCAAGGUUGAAACUCAAAUGAAUUGACGGGG
rnacentral:rRNA from 1 species